UGGGGAAUAUUGCGCAAUGGGCGAAAGCCUGACGCAGCCACGCCGCGUGAGCGAUGAAGGCCUUCGGGUCGUAAAGCUCUGUGGGGAGAGACGAAGAAAGCCCGUGAAGAGCGGGCCUUGACGGUAUCUCCUUAGCAAGCACCGGCUAACUCCGUGCCAGCAGCCGCGGUAAUACGGAGGGUGCAAACGUUGCUCGGAAUCAUUGGGCGUAAAGCGCACGUAGGCGGCGAAGCAAGUUGGGUGUGAAAGCCCUGGGCUCAACCCAGGAAGUGCAUUCAAAACUGCUUCGCUUGAAUCUCGGAGGGGGUCAGAGAAUUCCCGGUGUAGAGGUGAAAUUCGUAGAUAUCGGGAGGAAUACCAGUGGCGAAGGCGCUGACCUGGACGAAGAUUGACGCUGAGGUGCGAAAGCGCGGGGAGCAAACAGGAUUAGAUACCCUGGUAGUCCGCGCUGUAAACGAUGAGUGCUAGACGGUGGAGGUAUUGACCCCUUCG
rnacentral:rRNA from 1 species